rnacentral:rRNA from 1 species
UACGUAGGGGGCAAGCGUUGUCCGGAUUCACUGGGCGUAAAGCGCGUGUAGGCGGCGCGUCAAGUCGGGUGUGAAAGCCCGGGGCUCAACCCCGGGAUGCCGCUCGAAACUGGCGUGCUUGAGGACGGAAGAGGGGAGUGGAAUUCCUGGUGUAGCGGUGAAAUGCGUAGAGAUCAGGAGGAACACCCGUGGCGAAGGCGGCUCCCUGGUCCGUUACUGACGCUGAGACGCGAAAGCGCGGGGAGCGAACGGG